UACGUAGGGACCAAGCGUUGUCCGGAAUCAUUGGGCGGAAAGAGCAUGUAGGCGGCUUGUUAAGUCUUGCGUGAAAUCUCGGGGCUCAACCCCGAGCGGUCGUGAGAAACUGGCAGGCUAGAGUGCGGGAGAGGAGAGUGGAAUUCCUGGUGUAGCGGUGAAAUGCGCAGAUAUCAGGAAGAACACCCGUGGCGAAGGCGGCUCUCUGGAACGCAACUGACGCUGAGACGCGAAAGCGUGGGGAGCAAACAGG
rnacentral:rRNA from 1 species